CUUCUUUCCUCCUUGUUACGAGAUUUGAGGUACCACCUCUACCAACAUACACUGAUGUGGCUCCCAGCAGAGCUGGUCUGGACCCAAGUCUCUCUGAAAUGCAAGCAGUAAACAGGAAUAAGAGAGCAUGGGGUGCGUCUGCAGUGACAAAUGUGAGAUGCUCACAGCUGGCAAGUUGUGUACCACAGAUGGAGUGAUUUCUCAUGUAGUGUUACAGUAAUGACCAACGUGACACAGAAGGAAAAUUCUGUGACAAUAUGGAAAGCUCUUCAAGGAACAAGACAUGGAAAAACAGCGGGCUCGGAAGUGCAAUGUUUUUAAACAUCCAGUGCUGCCAGUCAUAAGGCAGAUAAUUAUUGCCAUGGCACUCCCACGCCGAAUGGAUGUGUGUGGACCUGCCCGUGUCAGUGCUGUUGGAGGGGCAGUGGUUCUGGGGAGGACUGGCCAAGGCCACCCCUACUUCUAGAUGGAAGAUACUCUGGGAGAUGGCACAGCUUCAACUAACUUCACGGUUGAAGGAAUAUCGAUUGUUCCUGAAAUGUGUCUGCUAGCAAAAUGCAUCCUCCCAACAUCAAGCACAGAGUUGGCUGGUACCUGUGCCUGCUCACAGUUGCAUGCAGCGAAGUCAAGAGGGAAAUUUGAGGCCAACAUUUUUGCUGGAUUACUGAGGUCAUGUAAAAAAAAAUAUUCUUCAUUUGGCUUGUGUGCAACAGCCUACAAUGGCAGCCGAAAAUCUUCAUGCUGAUGAAAAAGGAGAUGGAACUGAGCUUUGGAGGAUGACACCAGGACCUGGGUGCCUCUUGUGGAUCUUUGCAGCCUGAGAUGCCC
rnacentral:lncRNA from 1 species